UCCCUGGUGGUCCAGUGGUGAAGACUCCAUGCUUCCAACGCAGAGGGCCUGGGUUCGAUCCCUGGUCAGGGAU
rnacentral:tRNA from 1 species